AUACGGAGGGUGCAAGCGUUACUCGGAAUCACUGGGCGUAAAGCGCGCGCAGGCGGCUAUUUAAGUUGGAUGUGAAAGCCUACGGCUCAACCGUAGAACUGCAUCCAAAACUAUUUAGCUAGAGUGUGGGAGAGGAAGAUGGAAUUAGUUGUGUAGGGCUAAAAUCCGUAGAGAUAACUAGGAAUACCAAAAGCGAAGGCAAUCUUCUGGAACACUACUGACGCUGAGGCGCGAAAGCGUGGGGAGCAAACAGGAUUAGAUACCCUAGUAGUCC
rnacentral:rRNA from 1 species